rnacentral:tRNA from 1 species
UGGCUUAGACAGUAAAGCAUCUGUCUACAAUGCAGGAGACCUGGGUUCGAUCCCUG